AGAGUUUGAUCCUGGCUCAGGAUGAACGCUGGCGGCGUGCCUAAUACAUGCAAGUCGAGCGAACGGACGAGAAGCUUGCUUCUCUGAUGUUAGCGGCGGACGGGUGAGUAACACGUGGAUAACCUACCUAUAAGACUGGGAUAACUUCGGGAAACCGGAGCUAAUACCGGAUAAUAUUUUGAACCGCAUGGUUCAAAAGUGAAAGACGGUCUUGCUGUCACUUAUAGAUGGAUCCGCGCUGCAUUAGCUAGUUGGUAAGGUAACGGCUUACCAAGGCAACGAUGCAUAGCCGACCUGAGAGGGUGAUCGGCCACACUGGAACUGAGACACGGUCCAGACUCCUACGGGAGGCAGCAGUAGGGAAUCUUCCGCAAUGGGCGAAAGCCUGACGGAGCAACGCCGCGUGAGUGAUGAAGGUCUUCGGAUCGUAAAACUCUGUUAUUAGGGAAGAACAUAUGUGUAAGUAACUGUGCACAUCUUGACGGUACCUAAUCAGAAAGCCACGGCUAACUACGUGCCAGCAGCCGCGGUAAUACGUAGGUGGCAAGCGUUAUCCGGAAUUAUUGGGCGUAAAGCGCGCGUAGGCGGUUUUUUAAGUCUGAUGUGAAAGCCCACGGCUCAACCGUGGAGGGUCAUUGGAAACUGGAAAACUUGAGUGCAGAAGAGGAAAGUGGAAUUCCAUGUGUAGCGGUGAAAUGCGCAGAGAUAUGGAGGAACACCAGUGGCGAAGGCGACUUUCUGGUCUGUAACUGACGCUGAUGUGCGAAAGCGUGGGGAUCAAACAGGAUUAGAUACCCUGGUAGUCCACGCCGUAAACGAUGAGUGCUAAGUGUUAGGGGGUUUCCGCCCCUUAGUGCUGCAGCUAACGCAUUAAGCACUCCGCCUGGGGAGUACGACCGCAAGGUUGAAACUCAAAGGAAUUGACGGGGACCCGCACAAGCGGUGGAGCAUGUGGUUUAAUUCGA
rnacentral:rRNA from 1 species